GUGGAUGUAACUCAGAUGGUAGAGUCCUUGCCUAGUACGCAUGAAGCCCUGGGUUCAAUCCCCAACAUUACA
rnacentral:tRNA from 2 species